rnacentral:lncRNA from 1 species
UUCAGAUUUUUUUUAGAUUUGUAUCAAUUUUAAUUAGUUUUAUUUGUUAUUUGUAAACUUUAAUCUAGGAGAAAACCAAACUGAUAUAACCCAGUCCGUUUAUUGCAUUUGCUUGAGGCUAAACAAAAAAAUCUCCUUGCAGGACUGAUGCUGCUGCUACUGUUGUUUUUCUGCUUUGUUGGAAUCAAUUUCAAAAUUCAAUUUCUCCCAUUCUUUUUCAAUAUCUAAACUCACUUUCUUACUCACCUUCUUGGAUGGCACAAGCCACAAUCUCCAAAGGUUUCAAAUUGCUUCUCCAUAUGUUAUUUUAUGAUUUAAUUUAAUCACAUGUUUAAUUUUUUGUCUAUGUUUGCAACUUAGGUUUUCUUCUCCAUCGAAUCCUCCAACCUGUUUCAAGACCCACCCCGCAGGUAAUUUCAGUUUCGUUCUUUAGAGAUCCAAAAUAUUUUCACUUUCUUGCUUUUAUCCACCUGUAUGAAAUCAACUGUAAUAAUCUAUUUGCUCUUUGCAGGCCAAAAGAUUUGUAGACUAUUUGGCUACUUUGGUCCUCUAAAUGAAGUUUUCAUGCUUGUGAUUAUUAUAUUAGGUAAGCUUAUUUACUGUCUUAAAACAUAACUUAUAUAUAGCUUCUAUGUGUUGUUUUAAUUUAAAGUUUUAAUUUUCCUGUUUGAUGUGUUACAUGUGAAGUUGUAUAGUGUUAUAUAGAAAUUGAUUGAUAUUUCUAAUUUCAAACAUGAGUUUGAANNNNNNNNNNNNNNNNNNNNNNNNNGAUUACAAAUUAGUAGAUCUAAUGUUUAUUUGUUUAUCUUUUUGAUCAGUUUAUAUGUAUUGAGCACACUAUUAUUUAAUUGUGAGAUGCUAAUUUGAAUAGUUUGGGAUCAAAGACUACUUUUUUUUUUUUGUUUUGGUAAAUUAGUUUGGAUUAUUGGAGAAACCAGUUCCUAUUUUUCCUCAAGUAACCCAUGUUGAUAGCAACCUUUUUUUAGUUUGANNNNNNNNNNNNNNNNNNNUAUUAACUAAUAUAAAAUAUCCUAUCAAUUGGUGUUUACCUCUUUUUAGUUACUAUUUUUUGUAUUUAUUCUUUUUAUAUCGAUUUUGGAAAAGAGGUUUUUGAAAAGAUUGUUGAUGACAGAGAUAUGACAAAGAUUAUUACCAUUAUUGCAUUCUCUUUGAUGAAAGUAAUAUUCUUGAAUUAGCUUCGAAAAUGUUUUCACAAAUUAAAGAACACAUAGGUUUCAAUUCAAUAAGAUUGGCUUUAAGAAGCAUGAAUUCAAAAAGAUUGGCUUUAAGAUUU